rnacentral:tRNA from 1 species
GAAAUAAUUAAAAUAAAGCUUCUAACUUUAUAAAUUGAUAUUAAUAUAUCAUUAUUUCU